rnacentral:rRNA from 1 species
AGAAAGCUUCCUUCGGGAAGCGAGUAGAGUGGCGCACGGGUGAGUAACGCGUAGGUAAUCUACCCUUAUAUUUGGGAUAACAUCGGGAAACUGGUGCUAAUACCGAAUACCCUUCUUUGCCGCGGGGCGGAGAAGGAAAGGUGGCCUCUUCAUGAAAGCUACCGUAUAGGGAUGAGCCUGCGUACCAUUAGCUAGUAGGUGAGGUAACGGCCCACCUAGGCAACGAUGGUUAGCGGGUCUGAGAGGAUGAUCCGCCACACUGGAACUGAAACACGGACCAGACUCC